rnacentral:lncRNA from 1 species
CGGCUCCCGGCUCCGGGAAAGACCUUCUGUUCUCUGCCGGCGCGGAGGGCCGCAGGAACCAGGCCUCUCGCCUCCCCACCAGCUAGGCAGGGAGCGCCCAUCUCCUGAAAAAUUACUUCCUGGGAAGCGGUGCGGGGAGACAGCUUCAAUUGCUUUCGGUUGGUGAAAAACGAAUUCGCUUCUCAGAUUGCUCUCCUAGCUGCCAGGCUCUGACGUUGAGAGGCCGGCUUUCAGCCUCGCGCUGGACCUUCCACAAGUGUUUGCACAUGACCUGGAAGACAGUCAGAGGCAGAAGUCCCUGCAAAUGCUCCUGGCUACUUCCUGCAGGCAGCUCAUGCUGCUGCAGCAGAAGACUUUCCUAUGUCUAGCUGCCAGUAUUCUGGGUGCUGGGGGCAUCCUGUUCCUAGGAUCACAGCCAUGGUGGUAUGUUCUAGAACUCAGAAAUUUACCAAAUCACUGGAUGGACCAGAGGAGUGAGCUCCAGGUUGGGUUUCCAGAAGGGACUCCCAGAACUCUUCCACCAUACAGGCCUCUCAGGGAGCUGCUCCCUCUGCCAUGGUCAGUGAGAGGGGGAAGCAGGAGCCGCCAUUGGGGUUGUUGAGUUCGUGGCUGCAACCCAGGGAUGAGGAAGCUGCUGCUACACACCCAUGAAGCUGAUGCCUGGACAUAAAUCCCUACUGAUAAGUGUUUACGACAUUUCCAGCGUGGUGCCGACACUGCAUGGAAAUGCUGCAUGGAAAGUCCUUAUACAUCUAUCUUUGUGCAUUUAUUGUGAGCACCUACUAUGAGUAAAACCUGGGCUGGUGGCUGGAGAAACAUGAAGAUGAGUAAGAGCCAAUUCCUGUUCUUGGGGAUUUAAUAAUAUAUUCAAGGGAAAAGACACAAAAUAACCAUUUCCAGGUAAACUCUGGUGGGGAGGGUGGGAGGAGAACCGUGGUUUGCUUUUGUGCCCAACACUUCACAUUCCUUACCUCUUUCUCCCCACCGAGACCUUGAGGAGCAGCCUGAGCCAGAGGACCAGCAUCCUCAUCUUCUCUCCACCUCUUACUAGGGGGGUGGCUUUGGGCCAGUUUCUUACAUUCUUUGGGCCACUUUAGUUUCCUUAUUGAAAAAUGGGGAUAAUAAUAGUGGCUACAUCUCAGUGUGAUUCUGAGGAAACCAGAAUUGUACAUGCAGAGCACAUGCACAGAACAGUGCCUGGCACAGUCAGUAAUUGAUCAAUGUGCGCUAUUGUUGUUGUGUAUAUUAGUUCUCCCCUGAUACAGAUGAGAGCUAUCUCUAACUCAGAGACUUGCCACAUCAUUAAAUUAGGAGUGAGAACUGAGCCUGGAUAAGGAAGAGGAACAGGAAUUCAACACAGUGAACACAGCAGGAAAGGCUUGUGCGAAGGCUCUGGGCUGGAGAUGUGUAAAGCAUGUCUGGAGAUGGGGAAGGUCCAUUGGGCCAGGAAACCACAGGCUCUGCUCUCCUGGAGCAG